rnacentral:rRNA from 1 species
GACGAACCGUGCGAACGUUGUUCGGAAUCACUGGCUUAAAGGGCGCGUAGGCGGGCAUUCAAGUCGGUGGUGAAUCCUCCAGCUUAACUGGAGAAGAGCUGUCGAUACUGGAUGUCUCGAGGGUGCAGGGUCUGCGGAACUUCGGGUGGAGCGGUGAAAUGCGUAGAGAUCCGAAGGAACGCCGGUGGCGAAAGCGGCGGACUGGGCACCUUCUGACGCUGAGGCGCGA